GUUGGUCCAACGUUGGCAUGUGAGUUUUAACCGUUUCCCCAACGUUGACUCAACGUUGGGGAAACGUUGGCAUGUGGUUGUUACUCCCACCUCUUGCCAUCCCGGAAGAGUAGGCCAACACAGCCUCGUCUACACAAGAGGCGUUGCGCUCCAGCGCUCCUCGGAGUGGACAGACCCUUCUACCAGCGGUGGUCGGUGGUGUAGCGGUUAGCGCGCUGCGCUACGGACCUGGCGACCCGAGUUCGAUUCCCGCUCACGGCUAACAUCAGUGACGAUUAUCUGAACCGGCCCUGGGCCUCCCCUAGGUCGACUCAGCCUCAAAUGAAUACCUGAUAUUCAAGUCUAGAGGGAUGCUGCUGAUGCCAGAGCGGAAUGGUUCGCACAACGGACUUGCAAUCCGGGCGGCCGACGGUGCGAUCUCCCGGCGCGGCAUGUUGAAAGACGACUGUGGCAAGCGUCCGCACCUCGUUUGUGCGACGCACGGGGCGAAAUAAGUUUUAACGUACGUGCAGGGACACACAAAAUCCGGCCCAGUGCCUCUGUUUCCACCCACCGAUGUUCGUGGUCAGGUCGCGUGCGGUGGCGGUCACGUCUGGAGGACUCCCACCACCCCCCCCCCCCCAAAGACGUCUGGCUAUCGUGAAAGAGCAGGCCAAAGUACCCCCCCCCCCCCACGCCUUCCUCUACAGCAGUGAUUCUUCACCUCUUUGGUUCUCAAUAGUAAUUUAUUUUAUGUCAAUAGAUGCGCAGGGUUUAAUGAAACAAAGUCAUCGUACUUACGUGCCCGUGCGGAAUUUGCGUUGUCGAUGAUUGACCUUCAAACAACAAAAAUCUGGCCAUGUCUCGCACCCCCAGAAAGGGCGUCUCGUACCCCUGGGGGUUGCGUGCACCCACCGGUUAAGAAGAAGAAUAUCCACUGCUCUAGAGGGCCCAUCCUGCCAGCGGCGGCGUGCGCAAGCACAAUUCGCAAGGGGCUGCUACUUCACCCACUUUGUACCGUGUAAAUCCCAACAGCGUGGGGGAAGGCACCCGAAAUGUAUUACACUUUGAAUCCCAAGUGCGAUGGAUUUAAUCACCCGUACCUGACGUGGAAUGGUGGCAUUGAUUCGAGGUCAUACACCAAGACUUUGCACGUCAAUAUAUAUUUAUAUGCAUUUUAAUGGUUGGCACAAUAACCGCGAGCUAUUUCGAAUGUUUAAUCUUAAAACUUGAAGCCCACUGUAAAUUUCACUGCUGGGAAAGGCAGUUUUUUUUUUUACGUGCUCAAAAAGGGGGCUUUAAAGAUUAAUGCGGACAGACAAGGUGGUUGCUGAAUGGGGUCCACACGUUCCACGUGAAUGCACGUUGGUGUAUUGGGCAAGCCAUCAGUGAUGGACUACGCACGGUGGUUCACACCUCAGUAGUGGCUAGGAUUCAUAUUCUUGGUUCUUUCGGUAAAGUCACGUAGAAGGGAAAUAAUAAAAU